rnacentral:rRNA from 1 species
UACGUAGGGGGCAAGCGUUGUCCGGAUUUAUUGGGCGUAAAGAGCGUGUAGGCGGCCUGGUAGGUCAGCUGUGAAAACUCGAGGCUCAACCUCGAGAUGUCGGUUGAAACCACCUGGCUAGAGUCCGGAAGAGGAGAGUGGAAUUCCCGGUGUAGCGGUGAAAUGCGCAGAUAUCGGGAAGAACACCCGUGGCGAAGGCGGCUCUCUGGGACGGUACUGACGCUGAGGAGCGAAAGCGUGGGAAGCGAACAGG